rnacentral:tRNA from 1 species
CGAGAAUAAGUGUUGUGGCCGCACGCGUGCUUUGGGAGCAUGUGGGGUUGGUUCGAUUCCAGCAUUCUCGACCA